GACGAACGCUGGCGGCGUGCUUAACACAUGCAAGUCGAGCGGUAAGGCCCUUUCGGGGGUACACGAGCGGCGAACGGGUGAGUAACACGUGGGUGACCUGCCCUCAGCUCUGGGAUAAGCCUGGGAAACCGGGUCUAAUACUGGAUAUGACUCCAUGACGCAUGUUGUGGGGUGGAAAGCCUUGUGCGGCUGAGGAUGGGCCCGCGGCCUAUCAGCUUGUUGGUGGGGUGAUGGCCUACCAAGGCGACGACGGGUAGCCGGCCUGAGAGGGCGACCGGCCACACUGGGACUGAGACACGGCCCAGACUCCUACGGGAGGCAGCAGUGGGAAUCUUGCGCAAUGGGCGAAAGCCUGACGCAGCGACGCCGCGUGAGGGAUGACGGCCUCGG
rnacentral:rRNA from 1 species